rnacentral:tRNA from 1 species
GAAAGUAUAGCUCAAAUGGUAGAGUGUGUGCUUAGCAUGCACAAGGUCCUGGCUUCAAGCCCCAGUACCUUUU